GACGAACGCUGGCGGCGUGCUUAACACAUGCAAGUCGAACGGAAAGGCCCUGCUUUUGUGGGGUGCUCGAGUGGCGAACGGGUGAGUAACACGUGAGUAACCUGCCCUUGACUUUGGGAUAACUUCAGGAAACUGGGGCUAAUACCGGAUAGGAGCUCCUGCUGCAUGGUGGGGGUUGGAAAGUUUCGGCGGUUGGGGAUGGACUCGCGGCUUAUCAGCUUGUUGGUGGGGUAGUGGCUUACCAAGGCUUUGACGGGUAGCCGGCCUGAGAGGGUGACCGGCCACAUUGGGACUGAGAUACGGCCCAGACUCCUACGGGAGGCAGCAGUGGGGAAUAUGGCACAAUGGGCGGAAGCCUGAUGCAGCAACGCCGCGUGCGGGAUGACGGCCUUCGGGUUGUAAACCGCUUUCGCCUGUGACGAAGCGGGAGUGACGGUAAUGGGUAAAGAAGCACCGGCUAACUACGUG
rnacentral:rRNA from 1 species